UGAAUGGGUGGCCAGAAAGCUCAUUUAGGUAAGAGUUAAGUGCUUGAAUUGGACAAAAGAUGUGUCCCUUAAUUGGCUUUUUAAUUCACAGGUGAAACAGCAUCUCCUCAACUCAACACGAAAUCCUCAUUUUUGUGAGCACUUCAGUAUUGUGAAUACGUGCACAGUCAGUCCAUCCAGGCCUCAAAACAUUGAAGAUGCUUUGAAGGAAAGCUAUAUUGAUUUUAGAACUAUUCUGAGCUAUGAAGCUUUAUGUUUUAAUCCGAUUAAGGGGAAUUCUCAUCAGGUUUCCUAGCUGUGCUGAGGUUCCACUUCAGUGAUAUAACCUCUAUCUGCUUUAAAGGAAUCUAGCAGAGCUACAAGAUGUGGAGAAUGUGAAUUUGGAAGACUGAAGUUCUGAAAUCACCCAGGGAAAAGAUCAAGACUGUUUUUUUCCCCGUGAUGGUGGAAUGUACUUCCCUUGCAAGCAGAGAGGAAAAAUUGCUUCCCAAGGUAAUGAGAAUAGUAGCUAGAUGCUGCGCCAGGGACAGUUCUGCUACUGGUUAUGCUACACAGACACAGGAUGUGAAAUCAUCUGAAUGGAAUAUGGAACCAAGCAUCGCCCUCAUGCCAGGAGCGUUCUGUGAAUGUGUCUCUUUUCUGACCACAUUGCCUCUCCAUUCUCAUCCAGCUUUUCUGAAAUGAAAGAGGAAGGCUCAAGAAUGCCACUGAAAGAACACGGGACCUGUGACUGUUGGCAGUUGUGUAUGAUUAGAGUCUCAUCUGAAGCUGAGGAAGUCAUUCCGUGGUAGCUGAGAGAAGCCACCUUAAAGAAGAAUGCUCCCAGGUGUGAUUAUACAUAUGGGUCCAGCCAUGAAGGAGGCACCUGACUUAAAAGUGUAUGCAGACUAAUGAAUUUAGUCUAGAAGAUUUUUAUUUGCCCUCAUACUGUAAUGAAUUUAGGCACAAUCUGGUUUAUGCAUGAUGUGCUGCAGGUGGGUUUAAAGGUAUGAUGUUUUUGCAAAUGCAUUAUUCUGAAUGUUAUUUAUUUUGUUUUGAAAAGACAUGACCUGCAUUUCUGUCAGCUACACAAUUAAAUUGAUGUUUCUCAGAUUUGCCAGAAGGGAUUGGGAGAAGCAAGAAUUUAGUCAUGUAUUGCUAACAAACUGUCUAUAACAUUUCUGUCAAAAUUAAAUGCAGCAAACCAUCAAAUAACGUUAAAGAUAAUUAUAGAGUGAAGAAUUUCUCCCCUCCCCCCACAGAAAAGUGUCAUGUGUUCGUGUAUGCACUAGAGGGCAAUGCGACUAUUACAAUUUUGGCAGGGGUAUUUCAAAAUGUCUGUCCCUGCAACGUUUUGGUAAACUUUUGUAAGAUAUAUAAAACAUAUAUUAAAUUAAAGUAUACUUGGUAAGAUUGUUUUAGAAAUAUUUCAAAUGUACCUUCUUACUGACAGCUCUGACUUGCUAGCAGCUCUUACCCUGCUUCAUAGAGUGGCUUGUGUAGUGAAUUUUGCAGAUAAAACACAAGAAAAAUAAAAA